rnacentral:misc_RNA from 1 species
GAGAAAUACUAAUAAUUUUAAUUUAUACAAAGAUAUUAUAAUUGUUAUAAAAUAAAUGAAUAAUAGCUAAAUUUGAUUUACAGUUAUUACUUAUUUGUUACUUAUCGUUUUAUAAAAUAUAAGGAUCUGUUUAUUCUAUCUAAUCCUCAAGUAUUGGGGAUUUCUUAUUUUAAAUAAUUUAGUUUAUAUUUUACAAUGUCGGAUGCAAGUAUUAUUCCAAAGGAUCUACGACAGCUCAGAGCAUGUUUGGUUUGCUCUUUGGUUAAGACGUUUGAACAGUUUGAAAAUGAUGGUUGUGACAACUGUGAUCGAUUUUUGAAUCUUAAGCACAAUAGAGAGAAUGUCUACGAUUGUACUUCCUCCAAUUUUGAUGGUAUGAUUGGUUCCUGCAAACCAGAAGACAGUUGGGUCUGUAAAUGGCAAAGAAUAGGUCGGUUUAAGAGGGGGGUUUAUGCUAUAUCCGUCUCUGGAAGACUUCCUCCUCCUGUCAUUAAGGACAUGCAAGCCUUGAAUAUUGCAUACAAAUCUCGAGACACGAGUAAAAGAUAGCUGAAAAUAUUCUUCGUUGGUUCUAUCUCCUUUAUUUCUCUAAUCGCUAUGUACAUAACUUUUCAACUCAAAAUGUUCUUUGGUUCAUCUUAUUUAAUGGUGUACAUUUUAUUUUUUUCAAUACGGAAUGACAUUGGUGCAAAAUCACAAAGGAGGACAAGACAUCUUAUCCCUGAACAGAAAUAGCUGAGAAGGUUGGAAAGAACAAAGAAGAUUCUAAAUUCUCUCAAGGCCAACAAAAAUUGGGGAAAAGUUUUUUCUCUUUUCUGAUAAAUCUUUUUUUCACCGUUGAUGACACUAUGAAUAAGGAGAACAGCCGCUACAUCACAACCGAACAUACAUACAAUGUCUCAGCUUCAGUGAGACAUGUAUUCAGAACAAAAAAUCAAGAUUGAACUAUGGUCGUGUGCGUUGUGGAGUCUCCAUCGAAAUUUUGGAUAAGAAAGUGCUACCUUGAGACAGAAAAGUUUGGGGACUACUUAGUUUUCACUCAUGACGGAGCUUAGUGUCAUCUAGCCGCUAAGUCCAGGCUUUCCUGAGAGACAACUUUCCAGACUUUUGGUACCUCAAAACAGGUGGCCGCACUCCUCUCCAGACGUUAACCCCUUGGAAUGAUCUAUAUAGGUGCGUUUGGAGGAGAGGGUGUGUGCUACUUCUCUUAGGAGUGUCCAGUCUCUAAGAGGCUUCCAUCAAAAAGGAGUCGACCAAGCUCGAGUCUGACUACUUAAUCAAGGUCUGCAAGAGAUUUAGGCCUCAUAUCGAGUCAAUUAUUAGAUUUGAGGGCUCACAUAUUGAAUAAAAUUUGUGCCAAGAACUAUCUUCAGAUGAUUUUGUUAAAUAAAUGUCCUCACAAAACCUCUUUUUUAAAUUUUACUCUUGAAAAGUUGAAAAAAUUAAAAUGUCU